GAGAGAGGCUGGACGGUUGCCGGACCUACUGGUCUGAGGAAAGUCUCCCCACCGUUCCGGACACACGAACAUCUGUAAAGGAUGUCGGGCGAGAGCCCGGGCUCUGGCACAGAAACGAUAACCAUCCCCUGGAAAUGCGAUGAUGUCAUAAGCUGAGGUCACAGGGAGAGUGGAUGAAACGGCGAAUCCUCGUGGGUGCAAGUUGGAAAUCGGGAAAGCACGAGCAGUCUGGACUCAUCCCGGUUGUUUUUGGUAACGCUUAGCCGAAUGCCGUCGAUGCAAGAGUCCCCAGGGACCGUUCCUCCCACUGAUGGGUGGCAGGAAUAUUUGCAUGAACAGAAGGGAGCUUACGUGCCUCACUC
rnacentral:RNase_P_RNA from 16 species